rnacentral:lncRNA from 10 species
AGAAUAAGUUUUAAAACUUUUUAUUCAGAUUCAGAAUAUUUUAUAUUUCAACUAAAUUUUAAACUUUCUAAAUGAAAGUUUACAACUUGAAGUUCACACUGCUGUAUUGCUUUAAAACUUAAAAGCAAAUAAACUUUGUCAACUAAAAUCAAAGUAACCAAUAUCUGGCCUGCCUGUCUCUAAGAUGGCCAUGCUGUCACCGCAUUCAUUAUUCACAGUCAGUGACCCUUAGACCAAUGCUUACACAAGAUUUCUUUCAAAUAUGACACUGUGGAGAUGGCCACAGGAGGUACUACAAAAACCAAGUGCUCGAUUACCACUUAACAUGUUCAGCUUGAAAUGACUGCUACCUUUGCCUUCAAUUCCUUCCCACACACCCAGGUAUACAAAUAUCUUUUAUACCAAGAGUCCUUGUGAAAGUAAAUAGAGGGAACUCCCAGGGAUAAGGGAGGGCAAAAAACAGGAAGCACUUGAAGCCAAAAUCUGGAGCAACUUUUAAGAAGGAAGAGACGUCCGUCCUAUUUUCAUAUCUCUGCAUGGAUCUCCCAUGGAGAACUUGAGUUAAAUGUAAUGAUUACACGUGGCAGAAAGACAACUCUCUAGCACAGUGUUUCUUUCACAUAGGCUGCUACAUUGAUUCCAUAAGCUCAACAAUUUUAAUAAAAAAUAUUUCUGCUAAAUACUUUAUAUUCAUCAUCAUAAAAAAUGCACAGCCAUUUGAAAAAAGGGCAAUUACCCUAAAUGAAUAUUGCCAAAGCACAGAUCAACUUUAUAUAGGAUUUCUUUCCUUGUUUCUGAAAAAUCGCAAACAGAACUGGCAGACUUUAUUUAACAAACAUUGAUUUUGUCCAGGCAUGGAGUUUAAAUUUUAGUGCAUGUGCUGGAGGCAGGGAGAAGUGAUGCGAGAAAGUAAAGCAACGACAGGUCAUGCGGGGACCAGUGCUACAAAGAAACUAAAGCCAGGGGAAGGGUUGGGGAGGCAUGGAGUGGGGUAGGACUACUAAAUUUAGACAGAAUGGGGUGCUAGAAAAGGUUGACUAUGCUGUGGUAACAAAUUAGCCCCUGAACCCCAGCGGUGUAGCAUAAGUUUAUCUCUUACCCACAUUCUACGUCCACCACAGGUCACCAGUGGCUGUGCUCUAGUCAUUCAGGGACACAGCUGGAUGGAGGCUGCACCAUCUGAGACACGGGGCACCUCCCUAGUCCUGCCAGAGCCGCAGUAGCAGUGGACCAGAGCUGGAAAGUCACACAUGGAGCCUUAAAGUCUUUAAGCAAUAAGCCACAACUAGUACCAUGGCCCCACCUACUGCAAGAGGGCUGAGAAAUGGGAGGAGUUCAUAGCAUGAGCAAUCAAUAACUGUCACUGAUAUCCAGGGAAGUCGUCUCUGACACAGGGAAAUCUAAGCAAAGACCAACUAAAGAAAGAAGCUACACAGAAAGUUGGAGACAGGAUGAUGUCAUUUAUGAUUCCAAGAAAUAUUCUGUUUGUCUGCCAUUUGUUUCCAGUGAACAACCACAUCAAAUCUUUAAUUUAGAUAUUUUGAUAAUUAAAUGCAUUAAAAAUCUGUCUCUAUUUCUAUGCUUAGUUCAAGUAAUAGCUUACCUCAGUGAUUUUAACAGUCUUACAUACCAUAUAGUAUCACUGCCCUUACAUUACAUCCUUCAAUAAUUAUCCCCUCCCGAGUAAAAUCAUAAUACAAGGGCUGACAAACUCAUUCUUGAUUGACACACAUCUCGACUCCUCACUCAUUUCUUCUCCACAUAUUAUUAUUUUCUCAUUACUUACCUAAAAUUUAACCUUAUAGAUAAUGAAAAGGGUUCUGAACAUUAAGAAAUAAUAGAAUAGUUAUAAAUGGAGGAAAAAGUUUGAAUAAAAAAGUUUCUUAAAAGGAUAGUGUCACUUGCAAAAAUAGCUCUUUGAAAUACAGGCAUCUGAUUCACCCCACAUAAAGCUGUUGUAAGUAAUCAAUGUGAGAAAGUCUACUUAUUGUUAAGCAUAUUUGUAUAUUUUUUACUAGUUAUUUCAUACUUGCCCUGAAAGAAUACACAUUCAAAAAGCUUGAAAUUAGGCAAUGUCAGUCUCAUCAAACAAAACCAGCAUUGGAAGCGAAUAUUAACAAAUAUCAGAAUGAAAUUACAAAAUAUACAUCUCCAGCCUCAUAAAACAUGAAUUUUAUAAGCACUUUCAUAAACAUAAGAAAAAUAGCUUUGAC